rnacentral:rRNA from 1 species
UUGAACGCUGGCGGCAGGCCUAACACAUGCAAGUCGAGCGGAUGAAGGGAGCUUGCUCCUGGAUUCAGCGGCGGACGGGUGAGUAAUGCCUAGGAAUCUGCCUGGUAGUGGGGGAUAACGUCCGGAAACGGGCGCUAAUACCGCAUACGUCCUGAGGGAGAAAGUGGGGGAUCUUCGGACCUCACGCUAUCAGAUGAGCCUAGGUCGGAUUAGCUAGUUGGUGGGGUAAAGGCCUACCAAGGCGACGAUCCGUAACUGGUCUGAGAGGAUGAUCAGUCACACUGGAACUGAGACACGACCCAGAGUCCUACGGGAGGCAGCGAUGGGGAAUAUUGGACGAUGGGCGGAAGCCUGAUCCAGCGAUGCCGCGUGGGUGAAGAAGGGCUUCGGAGUGGAAAGCAGUUUAAGGGGGGAGGAAGGGCAGUAAGUUAGUACCUUGCUGUUUUGACGGUACCUAGAGAAGAAGCACCGGCUAACUUCGUG